GGAGAGGUGGCAGAGCCCGGUUGAAUGCGUCCGAUUCGAAAUCGGAAGUCCUGCUUAAUGGCGGGACCGUGAGUUCAAAUCUCACCCUCUCCGCCA
rnacentral:tRNA from 1 species